GCUUACGGCCACACCCUCUGGUUCACGCCCGAUCUUGUUUGAUCUCGGAAGCUAAGAUAGGUUGGGCCUGGUUAGUACUUGGAUGGGAGACCGCCUAGGAAUACCAGGUACUGUAAGCC
rnacentral:rRNA from 1 species